rnacentral:rRNA from 1 species
GAGCGGUAGAGAGAAGCUUGCUUCUCUUGAGAGCGGCGGACGGGUGAGUAAUGCCUAGGAAUCUGCCUGGUAGUGGGGGAUAACGUUCGGAAACGGACGCUAAUACCGCAUACGUCCUACGGGAGAAAGCAGGGGACCUUCGGGCCUUGCGCUAUCAGAUGAGCCUAGGUCGGACUAGCUAGUUGGUGGGGUAAUGGCUCACCAAGGCGACGAUCCGUAACUGGUCUGAGAGGAUGAUCAGUCACACUGGAACUGAGACACGGUCCAGACUCCUACGGGAGGCAGCAGUGGGGAAUAUUGGACAAUGGGCGAAAGCCUGAUCCAGCCAUGCCGCGUGUGUGAAGAAGGUCUUCGGAUUGUAAAGCACUUUAAGUUGGGAGGAAGGGUUGUAGAUUAAUACUCUGCAAUUUUGACGUUACCGACAGAAUAAGCACCGGCUAACUCUGUG